UUUGUUUCCCCCUUUUUCUUCUCUCUCCUGAUGGUUUUGUUCUUUGUAUGUGCUUCGAUUCCUCCCCUCCUGCUUCCCUCCCCGAAUUCUCACUUUGGGUGGAAAACCAGCCUUUGAUUAAAUUUUAACCAAACUGCCUAAAAUCCAAAUCCAGAUCUUUUUUCUUUCUCUUUUUAUUGCUAAGAAGGAAACAUUAGCACAGCUCGUGACAGCAACUGGUGCCCAUCCUGCUGCAGUGCCUUGGCACAGGCUGGCAAGUGGGGAUGCCACGGACAAAGCCCUGGAUUUUCCAGAUUCCAAGCCCUCCCUGCCAUGGGAUGAGAACACCUGGACAGAUGUGCCACCCAUCAGCACUCACUGACUGAAGGCAGCGUGGGCCAGGACCAAACUGGAAGUGCUAAAGAGGAGCCAAAACCCCAACCAAAAAACACAAAUACUCUAACAAGGCAGACCCGAGGAGGGGCCAUGUAAAUACAUAUUCCUGGAAAAUGCAAACUAGCUUAUGGAUAUGCAUAAGAGUCUAUGAAUAUGAAGCAGGCUGAUGGAAUUAAAAGGUAUUUAAGAUAACAGGACGCCAAGAUGCACCUGGUCAUAAUAACCUUUGCUCUGUGGUCCUUGUUUCCUAUUGUCCUUUAUUAUAACUUUUUACAUUUUCAACGGAGAGUGAACGUGUUUUUCACAACGUGACGUUCCCGAGAUGCACAUCCCAAAACCAGAACGUGGGGAGCGUGCUGGGGCCAGGAUGUGGAGCUGGCUGCUCACCAGUCCUGCCAGGGAGAAGGAAAUGCAGCCUGAAAUCUUCUCCCAACUCUCACCCAUCCCUGUUAGCACCAAUUUCCUUUUCCAGGGAACAGCAACAGCAGCAGGCAGAGAGGGGGAUUCACUUCUCAGUCUGACAGGAAUUACAGAAGAGUUGGAGUUGCAGGGUGAGGAGGGAAAAAUGCUGUUUAAAAUUUACUUUAAUAUUUGAUUGUUGCAGUAAGGUAGAAAAAUUAUAAGAAAAAGACCUCAUAAAAAUCAGGUCUGCUCUGUUAUUUCAGUGGCUGGCCUUGUCAGGCUUUGCAAGUUCCCGUGUUAAAGCAAUCCUGGUGUGAGCAGUUCAUUGACACAACAAUCUGUUCCUGGGUAAAAACCAGGAACAGCACCUGUAGAAACUGGUUUUACACUGUCAGAUAGGAAAAUGAAAACUAUCUCUCACAAACAACUUUUCCUACACAUACACACUGGGGCUUGGAGUGACCAAUCAAUUCAGGGCAACAACUUGUUACUGACCAAUAAAGUAAUUAGUGAGAAAGCUCCUGACUAAUUGGAGUCCCACUCGAGGUCUGUAAAACUGUAUAAAAACCAGUUAUGUGAAUAAAGGAGGGGCUUUUUCCACCAUGAAGAAAA